rnacentral:rRNA from 1 species
UAAGGAAUAUUGGUCAAUGGACGCAAGUCUGAACCAGCCAUGCCGCGUGGAGGAUGAAGGUCCUCUGGAUUGUAAACUUCUUUUAUCUGGGACGAAACACUCCUAUUCUUAGGGGCCUGACGGUACCAGAUGAAUAAGCACCGGCUAACUCCGUGCCAGCAGCCGCGGUAAUACGGAGGGUGCAAGCGUUAUCCGGAUUCACUGGGUUUAAAGGGUGCGUAGGUGGGUGUAUAAGUCAGUGGUGAAAUCCCCGAGCUUAACUUGGGAACUGCCGUUGAUACUAUAUAUCUUGAAUAUCGUAGAGGUAAGCGGAAUAUGUCAUGUAGCGGUGAAAUGCUUAGAGAUGACAUAGAACACCAAUUGCGAAGGCAGCUUGCUAUGCGAUUAUUGACACUGAGGCACGAAAGCGUGGGUAGCAAACAGGAUUAGAUACCCUGGUAGUCCACGCCCUAAACUAUGGAUACUCGACAUACGCGAUACACAGUGUGUGUCUGAGCGAAAGCAUUAAGUAUCCCACCUGGGAAGUACGACCGCAAGGUUG